rnacentral:rRNA from 1 species
CCUACGGGAGGCAGCAGUGGGGAAUAUUGGGCAAUGGGCGCAAGCCUGACCCAGCAACGCCGCGUGAAGGAAGAAGGCUUUCGGGUUGUAAACUUCUUUUAUCAGGGACGAAGCAAGUGACGGUACCUGAUGAAUAAGCCACGGCUAACUACGUGCCAGCAGCCGCUGUAAUACGUAGGUGGCAAGCGUGAUCCGGAUUUACUGGGUGAAAGGGGAGUGUAGGCGGGUGUGCAAGUCAGAUGUGAAAACUAUGGCCUCAACCCAUAGCCUGCAUUUGAAACUGUACUAAUUGAGUGCUGGAGAGGCAAGCGGAAUUCCGUGUGUAGCGGGGGAAUGCGUAGAUAUACGGAGGAACACCAGUGGCGAAGGCGGAUUGCUGGACAGUAACUGACGCUGAGGCGCGAAAGUGUGGGGAGCAAACAGGAUUAGAUACCCUUGUAGUC